CGGCACGGGUGAGUAACACGUAUCCAACCUGCCGUCUACUCUUGGCCAGCCUUCUGAAAGGAAGAUUAAUCCAGGAUGGCAUCAUGAGUUCACAUGUCCGCAUGAUUAAAGGUAUUUUCCGGUAGACGAUGGGGAUGCGUUCCAUUAGAUAGUAGGCGGGGUAACGGCCCACCUAGUCAACGAUGGAUAGGGGUUCUGAGAGGAAGGUCCCCCACAUUGGAACUGAGACACGGCCAA
rnacentral:rRNA from 1 species